rnacentral:rRNA from 1 species
CAGCAGCCGCGGUAAUACGUAGGGUGCGAGCGUUAAUCGGAUUUACUGGGCGUAAAGCGUGCGCAGGCGGCCCGUUAAGACAGGUGUGAAAUCCCUGGGCUCAACCUAGGAAUUGCGCUUGUGACUGGCGGGCUCGAGUACGGUAGAGGGGGGUGGAAUUCCUGGUGUAGCAGUGAAAUGCGUAGAGAUCAGGAGGAACACCGAUGGCGAAGGCAGCCCCCUGGGCCAGUACUGACGCUCAUGCACGAAAGCGUGGGGAGCAAACAGGAUUAGAUACCCUGGUAGUCCACGCCCUAAACGAUGGGUACUAGCCGUUUGGUGCGCGAUAGCGCUGAGUGGCGAAGCUAACGCGUGAAGUACCCCGCCUGGGGAGUACGGCCGCAAGGUUGAAACUUAAAGGAAUUGGCGGG